AACGAACGCUGGCGGCAUGCCUAACACAUGCAAGUCGAACGAGACCCCUGACUUCGGUUGGCGGGUCUAGUGGCGCACGGGUGCGUAACGCGUGGGAAUCUGCCCUUGGGUUCGGAAUAACUCAGAGAAAUUUGAGCUAAUACCGGAUGAUGACGAAAGUCCAAAGAUUUAUCGCCCAGGGAUGAGCCCGCGUAAGAUUAGCUUGUUGGUGGGGUAAUGGCCUACCAAGGCGACGAUCUUUAGCUGGUCUGAGAGGAUGAUCAGCCACACUGGGACUGAGACACGGCCCAGACUCCUACGGGAGGCAGCAGUGGGGAAUAUUGGACAAUGGGCGCAAGCCUGAUCCAGCAAUGCCGCGUGAGUGAUGAAGGCCUUAGGGUUGUAAAGCUCUUUUACCAGGGAUGAUAAUGACAGUACCUGGAGAAUAAGCUCCGGCUAACUCCGUGCCAGCAGCCGCGGU
rnacentral:rRNA from 1 species